CCCUGACCUUUUUACUGCAAUAAUAUAAUGAAAACCUGAAAUUAUGGCUUUUGGUUUUGGCCACCCCAAGAUUUUAAGUGGCCCCAUCUGGCCACCCCUAUGAAAAAAUUCUGGAGGCGCCACUGAGUGUAACCCACAUGAGCAAAAGUGCACAAUUAAAAAAAAAAUCUGUACGUAAUUGUGUCAAAUUUUGCUGAAUAUAUUAUUUCACAUUGAAUUAGAAUUUAUUUUUUAAUCAACGUAAUGAUAAAUAAAUAAAACGAUUGCAAGCAAUAAUUCAGCCUAUUAGUUGCUCAUAUGGCAGGAAGUCCCGCCCUCGUAUGUUUCAGUUGGUAGCACGAUAGGUUGCAGAACACAAUUGAGCGUCAACGCAGACACAGAACUGCCUAACUGGCGAGGAACACACAACCUGGAAAGCUUAUCUACAGAAAAGAAAAACAGCAAGACCAACGCGUGGAGCGACAAAACGCGGCCCAACUGUGUUCAAAACACGGUGUGAGAGAUCGGUCAGGUUUUUUUUCCCCCUUAGACCUUGUUUCAGCUGGUCUUGUGUCAGAUUGGAUAUUGGACCAACUGUUCUGGAUUUUGAUGGCGAGCUAACCACUUGGAUCUAGAUUGAGAUAACAUGGAUACCUCUUUGCUGCAUUCUCUUGGUGUGGUAGGACAAAAAACAAACAAACUUGGAGCUAAUACCUCACCAUUCAGCAUUACACUGUGCUUACAUCGACAGGACUUUGACAAACUCUUUUUAUGGACUUCAAUUGAUUAAUAUCCCGGGAACUGUGAACUGAAUAUCUUUUUGUUAGGACAAUUUUGACUGAACAAUUGCACAUGUGUAAUUUUGCAUAAGGAUUGGAAACAAUUUCCCAUGCUGAAGAAAAAAAAGGUAUUAGAAGUUUGAUUGUGCCAUUAUUUUUGGUGCAAUAGAUUGAAAAUCAGAAAUUCCAGUUAGACUAAAAGGUACUGCCUAAAUAUUCUAACUUUGGAAGGGUGCACCCAAACUAACCCAAACCAACCCAAAAUCGAAAAUAUUGACUUAAUUAUUGGCCAAAUAUAGGUUAGAACUGUGUAUAUGUGUUAAAUGUGUUUUGUUUUUGUAUAUGUAUAAAAUUUGUGUUUUUUCUUCACUAAAGCUGGCAACAUAAAUCUCUCUUGUGGUCUGUCUCAACUUAUGCACUCCACUAAGCUCGAGUAGACGAACCUAGUUGUCCACAAUUAUUUUGUAAUUUGGUACAAAAACAAAAGCCUGUGUUACACCAAGGUUUCUCAUUUUCUCCCAAAGACUUUGGAGUUUUUGGAGUUUUUCCUUGCCGACAUGGAGGGUCUAAGGAUGUGGGAUACCCAGGACUUGAACUUUAUUUAUUCAUCUUUGUUGCUUCAUUUGCUGUUUCUGAUUGUGUAUCAUAUUGCCUCUGAAAAGCCCUUUGAGACAACCUUGUUGUGAUCCAGGGCUAUAUAAAUAAAAUUGUAUUGAAGUGUUGGAUUUUAUUAAGUAAAUUUCGCCUAAAAAUGCAAUUUAUACUUCGGUGCGACUUAUGUUUUUUCCCCCUCUUCAUUAUAUUUUUGGGCUGGUGCGACUUAUACUCAAGUGCGACUUAUAGUCCGAAAAAUACUGUAUGACAUGACACUGUCAUGAGCAUUAACGAAUGCUUAUAACAGAUGCCGUUUAGUGUCAUCCAGCAAAUGAUCUCACUUUUGAAUGGUUGUAAAAGAUCCGAGCUGGACAUAAUUUGAGUAAGGGACAUAAUUUGCCGAAUGACACUGAAUGACAUCUGUCAUAUGCAUUCAGUAAUGCCCAUGAUAGUGUCAUAAUUAUGGCGGUCUUAUAACGCUGCUGUCAAAUAAAGUGUUACUUAUUAACCCAAAUAAAUCAAGAAAUAAGUCGCACUGGACUAUAAGCUAGAAGAAAAAAGUAUCAGUUUAUAGUCCAAAAAUUAUUAAUUGGUUGCCUACAUACUGAUUAGGGUUGUUCCGAUCAUGUUUUUUUGCUCCCGAUCCGAUCCCGAUCGUUUUAGUUUGAGUAUCUGCCGAUCCCGAUAUUUCCCGAUCCGAUUGCUUUUUUUGGUCCCGAUUCAAUUCCAAUCAUUCCCGAUAAUUUUUCCCGAUCAUAUACAUUUUUGGCAAUGCACUAAGAAAAAAAUGAAUAAAACUCGGACGAAUAUAUACAUUCAACAUACAGUACAUAAGUACUGUAUUUGUUUAUUAUGACAAUGAAUCCUCAAGAUGGCAUUUACAUUAUUAACAUUCUUUCUGUGAGAGGGAUCCACGGAUAGAAAGACUUGUGACUUUGUAUAUUGUGAUUAAAUAUUGCCAUCUAGUGUAUUUGUUGAGCUUUCAGUAAAUGAUACUGUAGCCAUGCCCAAAUGCAUGACGGGAAGUGGAACCAUGACUGUGCGUAGUGCUACCAAUUGAUAUAUCUUUGCGUUGGGAAAUAACAUAAAGUGUUAAGAAAAAGAUCAAUUGCUACCUUGCUUCCCCACAUUGCUUCCCAUGAUAUUUCUAAUUGUAGGGAGAGGGAUUGUAAGGCUUUAGCCAACUAAAAAAAGGCUCCAAAGGCUGCCAAAAUUCACUCUACUCAUUUUACGCUGCCUUUUAUCUCUCUAUAUAGGUAAAACGGCGCUGUUACAGAUUGAGCGCGACAAUGCGUGAGUGAGUCGUGCAGCGCAUGCAUUAAAUAUUUUAACGUUAAUACAUUUUUUAAACAAUUAAUAACUGCCAUUAUCGGGAUAAAUUUGAUAACCCUAUUAAGCCCAAACUAAA